rnacentral:rRNA from 1 species
AGUGAACGCUGGCGGUAGGCCUAACACAUGCAAAUCGAACGGCAGCACAGUAAGAGCUUGCUCUUACGGGUGGCGAGUGGCGGACGGGUGAGGAAUACAUCGGAAUCUACUUUUUCGUGGGGGAUAACGUAGGGAAACUUAUGCUAAUACCGCAUACGACCUACGGGUGAAAGCAGGGGAUCUUCGGACCUUGCGCGUUUGAAUGAGCCGAUGUCGGAUUAGCUAGUUGGCGGGGUAAAGGCCCACCAAGGCGACGAUCCGUAGCUGGUCUGAGAGGAUGAUCAGCCACACUGGAACUGAGACACGGUCCAGACUCCUACGGGAGGCAGCAGUAGGGAAUAUUGGACAAUGGGCGCAAGCCUGAUCGAGCCAUGCCGCGUGAGUGAAGAAGGCCUUCGGAUUGUAAAGCCCUGUUAUUAGGAAAGAAAAGCAGCAGAUUAAUACCCCGAUGUUCUGACGGUACCCAAAGAAUAAGCACCGGCUAACUUCGUG